rnacentral:rRNA from 1 species
GACAGAGGGUGCGAACGUUGUUCGGAAUUACUGGGCGUAAAGCGCGUGUAGGCGGCAGCGCAAGUCGGGCGUGAAAUCCCACGGCUCAACCGUGGAAGUGCACUCGAAACUGCGCAGCUAGAGUCCUGGAGAGGAAGGUGGAAUGCUUGGUGUAGAGGUGAAAUUCGUAGAUAUUAGGAAGAACACCAGUGGCGAAGGCGGCUCACUGGCCCGGUACUGACGCUGAGGCGCGAAAGCGUGGGGAGCAAACAGGG